rnacentral:rRNA from 1 species
GAUGAACGCUGGCGGCGUGCUUAACACAUGCAAGUCGAACGAUGAACGAGGGAGCUUGCUCCCUCCGGAUCAGUGGCGAACGGGUGAGUAACACGUGAGCAAUCUGCCCUGGACUCUGGGAUAAGCGUUGGAAACGACGUCUAAUACCGGAUACGAGACGCGAAGGCAUCCUCAGCGUCUGGAAAGAACUUCGGUCCAGGAUGAGCUCGGGGCCUAUCAGGUAGUUGGUGAGGUAACGGCUCACCAAGCCUACGACGGGUAGCCGGCCUGGGAGGGUGACCGGCCACCCUGGGACUGGGCCACGGCCCAGAGUCGUACGGGAUGCAGCAGUGGGGAAUAUUGCACAAUGGGCGCAAGCCUGAUGCAGCAACGCCGCGUGAGGGACGACGGCCUUCGGGUUGUAAACCUCUUUUAGCAGGGAAGAAGCGAAAGUGACGGUACCUGCAGAAAAAGCACCGGCUAACUACGUGCCAGCCGCCGCUGUAACAC